CAGUGCAGGAGGGUUCCCUUUUCUCCACAGCCCCUCCAGCACUUGCUAUUUGUGGAUUUAUUAAUGAUGGCCAUUCUGACUGGUGUGAGGUGAUAUCUCAUGGUAGUUUUGAUUUGCAUUUCUCUUAUAACCAGCAAUGUUGAGCAUUUUUUCAUGUGUUUGUUGGCCAUCUGUAUAUCUUCUUUGGAGAAACUAGACCAUGUGAGAGACAUACCCCAAUAAUGAAUGUAUAUUGAUUCAUUACAUUAAUGGUACUUUUCAGUUUAAUCAGAGUGAGCAAGAGUUUACUAAGAUUCUGGAGGCCUUGGUAAAACACAUGCACUCCAGAGGCAUGUGGAUUCAAGAACAUGACACUUCAGUACAAUUUUAAAAGGACCUAUGGUAAGGGGUAUGCUGAUAUAUCCCAUAUAAAAUAAAAAGUAAAUCCCUGUGUCUUGAUCACUUAUCACAGAGAAGGAAAUGCAAUGCUUGGAUACAUUGUUGGGUUCUAGAAGCAGCACAUUUUACAUGGAGGUCUACUUUUCUGGGUGAUAUACCAGGUGUCACAAAAGGCUACCACCUCUGAGCAGAGCCAAGUGCAGUAAAGGGUUCUGCAGAAAACUUAGGCUGCAGUCAAAUAGUUCUGCCACUUGGGCCAGAUGAUCCUUCCCAGUUGUAUUUGAAGAUAAAUGGUUAUAAGAGUGGCAGUGUGGCCUUAUGAAAAACCUCAGAAGGAGAAUCCUAACAUAGGCCACUGGGGUUCUGGACUAUAGCCAUACUAACAGCAGAGAAGAAUUAUACUUCUUUUAAGAAACAGUUUCUUAUAAGUUACUGAGCACCAGAAGAUGUAUAGAAUUUCCAUGGGGCACCAAGUAACCAUAUCUCUGAAAUGACUCAUUCUAAGCUAAGUUCUGUCAAACCUGUCAAGCACAGUGUCAGAAGGACCUGAGCUAACCCAUCAUAAGAAGAAAAUGGAAUUGAGUUUGAGCAGGAUUAUAGGGCCUGCAUAACAUAUAUGGCCCAAAUCCCCGUGUCACCCACCACAGUUGCUUCUGUGACCUUCCUUCAGUUUUCAUUUCACCCAUGGCCAUGGGAGGGUCUUGUCCAUCCAGAUCAAAGAGAAGUAAAAAGCCUAAGUUUGGUUUGUGGAGGGAUCAGCAUGAUACAUGGGUGCAAACCACAAAUGCACAAGGGCAGUGUUACAGUUACAGGCAAACUGGAAGGAAGAGGACUGGAGCAGCAGAGACAAGGGAUGUCUGGACUGGAGACAUAUGAAUGAACGUAAGGAAAUGGGGCUGGUCUGAAGAUUUUUGUCAUUGCAUAUUAAUAUCCACCAGAAAACAUUCACCUGGAGAGGAACUGAAGACGGAGUCGACAAAAUGAUUCAGUCAGCCUUUGUAUUCAGCAGUCCCAGAGCUGACACAAUAGGCACAUGGACAGAGUAGCCACGGUGGCAGAGACGGAAACUAGGCAUUAGCCAGUGGGCUGCCAUUUAGUAAGACUACAGACAACUCUGAAUGUCCAUCCCAGCAGCCACAGAAAUGAUUGCUGGGACUUUAGUGUGGCAUUAUCUCUCAAGGAGACCAGCUGGUACCAAUGUCAAGUCAUCUGCUUUGGGCCCUCUUCUUUCUAGAAGGGCCAGUAUUUAUCUUCACGGGAAUGUAUACAUAUUCCAGAUAGCACUUUGCUUUUUCCCUCCACAGGACCGCAAACAGCCUGACUAUUCAGGGGCUUCUAUAGCGCCAGAUCUACAAACAAGGACAUACACAUAAUAGCAUUUGACCAAGGGACCCACUUCACAGCAAAGUGGGUAUAGGAGUAACCAUGGGACUCACACAGUAUGAACUGCAUCACAUACCAGAACAUGUAGAAGCAGCUGUCCUGACAAAGCAUCAGAUGGAUGGCUGACUGCACAGUCUAAUUCUUGGAGCAAAUGGAAAUGGCACUAAUUUUCCUGAUUUUUCAGAAGAAUUGAAAAGAAUCCAUUAAUUCAAGGAACGUCAGAGAUACUUAUUCCAGGUUCAUAAUUGUCCCUUGCUUCUUGGUCUCUCUCAAAAUACUGGGUAGAAUAUUAAGAUACCAUCCCACAGGCAUGAAUUUUAACACCAAUAAAUAAAUAGGCUUUUAGUUAUCCAUUAAAUCCUUUAGCUUUUAGUCUUUUUGCAGAAAAUUAUGCCGAGUCUAAUUGUAAAACUUUGUGCUCACCGUCUGUGAGUAAAAAAAAAAAGGGGGGGGGGGAAAUAAAAAUCAGAUUUAGGAAUUUAGGAAAUUAAAUUCUUGAGCUAAAUCCUCCUUUAAUAUCCCCUCAAAUAAAAUCCUCCAUGUAGUUUUGAACAAAGUAUAAUCUUGAGGAACAUAUUCACUAAAAACAGCCUCUAAAGUUUAAAAUUUUCAGUCCCUUAAACAGAAUAUUUUAGAUCCUUAAACUUAGAAUUUAUUAAAUUUCCUUAUCUUUUCCAUUUAUUUUAUUUCAUUUUAAUUUAUUAAAAUGGAUGGCAGGAGCCAGACGACAUGAAGAUAAUUUCUAUCUAUUUUGAGUUAUUAAUAAAAAGAUUUUAGAGCUGGCUUAAGAAAUUAAUAUUUCUUUUCAAAUUAUUGGUUAUACCAACUACUUAUAAAGCUGAAUAUUCAGAGUAUACUUCUGAUGCAACAUUAAAAAGUUAAUACUGAUACUUAAAAUUCAGUUGGCUAUGAUUUUUCCUACCCUCAGAGUCUUCUGAAUUCAGCUUGUUACUCUGAAUUUAUUAUUAGGGAUACUUUCUAGUUCAAAAGGGAGAUAACUGAUUACCUUCUAAACCAUAAAUAGACAAUUUGUUACUUCACUGUUACUCCCUUAGUGUUCAUUGUGGCCCUUUUUACCUCUCAACUAGAUUUUACAUCAUCCUACUGUCCUUUGGGCUUCUCCCUCAGUCCACUCAAUACAUAACUACUUGAACAGUUCUGUCACAGUUCAGGCAAUAGCCAAUUCACUAGCUUUAGCCAAAAUGAAGUUUUGUGCUUGCUAUAGCUUUUCCCUGGGUCCCCGCUCAGAUGGGGGAAGCCUUUCUUAUUAUCUUAAUCUGUAGAAAUCCUUCCCCUCCUAUCACAUCUUGCACUCACAUAAGCAUGCAUUAAAAAAGGAAAACUCAGCUUUAACCAGGAGACUUGGAUCAUAAUCCCAGUUGUGUGCUAAUGAGCUAUGCACAUUUUGGCUAGUUUUCACCUCUCUCAGACUCAGUUUUCUCAUCUGUAAAUUACUCAUAUAUGAACUAGAGGAGUACUCCUCAGUGUGAUCCCUGGGCCAGCAGCAUCAAUAUCACCUGGGAACUUGUUAGAAAUGUAAAUUCUUCGUACCAACCCCAGCUUUAAAAAUCAGGAAUUCUGGAGAUAGGACCAAGCAACUGUGUCUUAACACUGAUUCUAUGUAAUCCUAAUCCCUGCUAAGGUUUAAGAACCACUACACUGGAUGAUCUCCAAGGUCCCUGUUAUAUCUAAAGUGUCUUUAUUCUAUAAUGCCUUUCUCUCAGGUGCUUGCAUAGCAUUUUAUAUGUCUCUUACUACAAACAUUACAUUAUACAUUGUGCUUGAAUUAUUUUUGAUAUAUCUCCUCCAUCUCUUACUAGAUGUCCUCUUAAAGAUUAGAAUUUCAUCUUAUUUAUUUUAUACCUGGGACAAUAGCUAACCUAGAGUCAUAUACAUUUUAGAUGUUUAGUAAAUCUUUAUUAAACUCUUCAUUAAUUUUAUUAAAAUAAAAACAAAUUAGAAAGCAACUAUUUAAUUCAAAUUCAGUUGAGCUAAUGCAAGGUUAUAAGUGAGGAACUGAGGAGAAGAUGCAGAUGCAAACCUUGGAUAAGGAGGAGCAGACCUCACCAACAUGAAGUGAUUGUUCUCACAAAAUAAAUGAACAAAAGAGGGAUUCAGAACAGGUUAACUAUAAACAACCUUACCCUUCAGGCUCUUCAACUGAGAAAGACUCAACCUGGAAAGGAAUAUUUAUGUCCUGAAAAUGUGCAACAAACAGAUGUAAGGAGUAUAAGCAUAGUUUGAAAUUUCUCCAUCUUUCUCAAUGAUGUUGGGAGGGACAUUUUUCUCCUUUAAAGAUUUCUCUAUUUCUAUUCUUCCCAAUAUUGCGAGCUUUGCUCUUUCAAACAUCUUCUUGCCCAGUUUUUGAAGACUGGCAAGAGUGUUUUAUUGAAACAUUGCUCUCCUUCUCCUCACUUUAUGUAGAUUCUAAAGGCUUUUGUACUCUUUCUCACUCUUCAAUUUAGAUGAAAGCCAUUAGGAAUCACCUCUCAGGCCAUGCUACUUCACCUCCGGAGGAAAGCAGUCUUCCCCUCCAGUUGUGCUCCACUUUAUUAAGAGGCAAUGACAUCCUAUGAACCCGAUGCCCAACAAGAGAUUUUAGUAAAAAGAACUUUUGACAGUUUUUGUCACUCAUCUAUCCUCGUCUUGCUCCAGGACAUAAAAUCCUCUAGAACACUAAUGGACCCAUAAGAAGAGUGGGUGUUGAUGAAGUCUUCUUAAUCAAUUGAUAUAGGACUUUUCUUUUAUGUUAAAUACAUGUCUCCUCUGGGCACUAUGGCCUUAGAAAUACUUUAAAUUUAGUUACGGUAAAGUGGAAUGAUAGAAGUGAUUUCUUUCUUUUUUUAAUGAUUUUGACUUCUCCUCAUUACACAUUUACUUUCACCAAUUAACCUUAUUUACUAGUUCUUUGAUAAAAGAAAAUCUAUUGGAAGAAAUAUUUCUUAAGUCUUUUACAUCAGCUUUUGUAAAAAAAAAAAAAAAAAAAAAAGCCAUAUUGUAAAUCCAUACUAGUUUUUUCACUUUUUAAAAAGUGAAUUGUAAUUUAUAAACAAUAUAAUUCACCAGUUUUAAGUAUAAAAUUCAGUAAGUUUUGACAGAUACAUACAUUCAUUUAAUAAUCUCCACAGUCAUGAUAUUGAAUAUUUGCAUCUCUUCAAAAAGUUCCUUUGUGCCUUUUUUGUAGUCACUCCUCUUACCCUCCCCACCAGAACUCUAAGAACAGUGAUCUGCUUUUUGUUGCAUAGUUUUGUAGGAUUUCAUAUAAAGAAUCAUGUAGUCUUUCCUGUUGGGCAUUUUUUCAUUUAGCAUAAUUCAUUUGAGAUUCAUUUAUGUUAUUAUGUCAUUAUGUGUAUCAUUUCUUUUACUGCUAGGUAGUAGUACAUCAUACAUAUAUUUGCAAUAUUUUGUUUAUGAAUUUACUAAUCAAUAUACAUCUGAGUUGUUUCCAUUUUGGGGCUAAUAUGAAUAAAACUGCUACAAACAUUUAGGUUUAAGUUAGUGUAAGAACGUAUAUUUUCUAAACUCUUGAGUAGACCUCUAGAGGUGGACGACUGUAAAUAAUAAAUUUGACUUCAUAAAAUUUUAAAAUAAUUUGUUCUUUAAAAGACACUGUUAAGAAAAUGAAAAGACACACCAAAAAACUAGGAGAGUGUUAGCAAAAUGUAUUUAUAACAAAAAAUAAUAAAAACAAAAAACUUUGGUCCAAAAAUAUAUGAGGAACUCUUAAAAUACAAUAAUAAGAUUUUUAAGGGAAAAGAAUUAAACAGAUAUAUGGCCAAAUAAGAUAUAGGAAUAAAAAAUAAGCCAUGAAAGUAUGGCCAACAUCAUACUUUAUCAUGAAAAUACAAAUUAAAAUUCAAUUAUAUAAAACACUCCAUACCCAUAAUAGUGGUGAAUUUAAAAAGCUGGUAAUACCAAUAACUGACACUUUUAUGCACUUACAGUGAGUCCUUUGGGGAAAAAAAAAUAUGAUGGUUUCUCAUAAAGUGACA
ensembl:lncRNA